rnacentral:lncRNA from 1 species
CGAGCGCCCUAUAUCGUAAAAGAUAACAAACUGUUAUAUUAAAAAUCUGUUAUUCUAAAUAGUGUACAUAGUGACUCAUUCUCUAUACUGAGAUUGUUCGAAAUUACCAUCUAAACCAUUGGUUAAUGUACAUAGCAGAUAACUAAAACAUUGAUGGCUUUCCAUUGAUGCUGCAAAAAAAAAUAACUAAAACAAACAAAGAAAAUUAGCAAAUAAAAUAAUAUUUUAAAGUUUUCUUAAUCGCAUAUAGGGGAUCCAAUUUGAAAGCGCGUUCAGCUUGCAAGUUGAUAACAAAAUACUCUAAGAACAGAGAAUGCACACGUACAUUAGAACUCCAAGGGAAAAAUAAGAGAGCAGUCCACUGGGCACCGUAUGAAUUUGCUUCAAAACUUCCUUUCCUUAGCACUGGACAGUUUGUCUUGGCUAGAUGCCGGAUGCUUUCCAUUGUUACCAGCAUUUCUUUCCGG